CACGUACGUAACCAUGGAAAUUUAUUUUCCCUCCUUUUAUCUUUUUUCUCUCCACAUAUUGUUUACUGCAGUUUUAAGAGUUGUAUCUGUGAAUCGGCUUCCUCCUUGUGAUCCUUGAACAAUACCUGAUCGCUGUAUUAUCCCUUUUUGCACUUCAGGCAACCCCAAUUAUGAAAAAACAGAAGGUCUAACUUUUCACAAAUUUCCUCAUGAUCCAAAUGUGAGAAAAAAUUGGAUUAAAGCAAUCGAAAAAUAAGAAAAAAUUAGAAAUAUCCAUCUAAUUUAAAAAAGUAGCCGUCAAUUUGCUCACUUCAUUUUCAUUCAAAUUGUUGCAUCACCGAGAGUUGCGAUUCGUUGACUCGGAGGAAGAAGAAAAGGGAGUCUCAAGUUCUUCAGCGGUGGAGAUUAAAAAAAGGGUCAAUUCCUAAUGUAUUCCCAAAUGCACCUUUCUACCUCAGCCAACCUCUUCCUGCGACUCGAAGCAUAAAUAGUUUAUCUCAAGAAGAAAAAAAAAAUGAAACUCUUCAACUUAAGCAUGAGCUUCAGGUGGACAGUAAUUUUGAUGAUGCCAAAUGUGACUCCCUUUUUGACCUUAAAAAUAAGUUAGAUGAAAUCUAUUUUAAUGAAAAAAGUGUUUAGUAUGCUAUUUUUAUGUUAAUUACAGAUGAGACAGAACUUGUCGAUGGAUUAAACGUUCUGAUGAGAAAAUGCUCAGAAGAAAUCUUCAUAUUCUUGAUGUCCAACAAUAAUGAUGAAGGCCCACAAAUCUUGAGUUGCUUACUUAUUAAGAAAAACUUGCAAUAUGAAGCUUUUUAUAAUGGCGUAAAGAUCUCUUACUCUCCCUUAAAGUGUUACAUCAACAACCUUAAUUUUACGAAAGUAAAUUCCAUUCAUGAUGUCAGGGAGUUAAUUAUUUACCUCAAAAGAAAAGAGCAAAAUAUAUCAGAUAUCAUCCAAAAUGGUUUGAUGAAA
rnacentral:lncRNA from 1 species